rnacentral:lncRNA from 1 species
ACAGCUGUAACUGAGGCACAGAGCAGUACACACAGUGGAGCCGAUUUCCGCGAUGGCGAGAGGGGGCACCGGAGGUGACAACAAUAACAAGACUGUCCUUCGGACAAGUUUUAGAUUCUCAGGAUGAUGGAGUGAGUGAUGGAAUAGGUUGCCAACUGUAGUUACUCCACUCAGCACAGAAUGGCUGCGGGGAAAUAUAAUCAGACAUGCCCAAAGAAGUCUGCUUAGGGUGAAACAAAUACCUUUGAGGUUUAAAUCAGGAAGGAGAGACUGUUUCUACAGGUGUCAUACAAAAAUCAAUACUGAGCCAAGGAUUAUUGGAUCCCAUAGAACCACGGAGACUUGGUAGUGAAAUUCUUCCAAAGCAUUCCAUCCGUGCAGGCAGAUGGUGUUCCUAGGUUUGGAAAUAUAAAUCCCAUGGGAAGUCAGCUGAAGACCAUUUUAUGCAUCACUCAUCCUGUUAGAGCCCUGUGCUGUUCUGUCUCUCUAUAAGGUAAGAGAUUUAUUGUGAAUUGGCUUCCAGAAGUAGAAAAUGUUGUAUGCUAAUGGAUGUUCCUUCAAAGUGGCUUCUGGAGCUC